rnacentral:rRNA from 1 species
ACAUAGCACUAUGCAAACACGAAAGUGGACGUAUAUGGUGUGACGCCUGCCCGGUGCCGGAAGGUUAAUUGAUCGGGUUAGCCCCUUGUGGGCGAAGCUCGUGAUCGAAGCCCCGGUGAACGGCGGCCGUAACUAUAACGGUCCUAAGGUAGCGAAAUUCCUUGUCGGGUAAGUUCCGACCUGCACGAAUGGCGUAACGACGGCUAAGCUGUCUCCACCAGAGACUCAGUGAAAUUGAAUUUGCGGUGAAGAUGCCGUAUACGCGCGGCUAGACGGAAAGACCCCGUGCACCUUUACUAUAGGUUCACACUGGACUUCGAAUUUAUUUGUGUAGGAUAGGUGGGAGACUUUGAAGCAGGAGCGCUAGCUCUUGUGGAGUCGUCCUUGAAAUACCACCCUAUUAAAUUUGGAGUUCUAACUUAAACCCGUAAUCCGGGUUGAGGACAGUGUGUGCUGGGUAGUUUGACUGGGGCGGUCUCCUCCCAAAGAGUAACGGAGGAGUGCGAAGGUAACCUCAGCACGGUCGGACAUCGUGCAAUGAGUGCAAUGGCAUAAGGUUGCUUAACUGCGAGACUGACACGUCGAGCAGGUACGAAAGUAGGUCAUAGUGAUCCGGUGGUUCUGUAUGGAAGGGCCAUCGCUCAACGGAUAAAAGGUACGCCGGGGAUAACAGGCUAAUACCCCCCAAGAGUUCACAUCGACGGGGGUGUUUGGCACCUCGAUGUCGGCUCAUCACAUCCUGGGACUGAAGCAGGCCCCAAGGGUAUGGCUGUUCGCCAUUUAAAGUGGUACGCGAGCUGGGUUUAGAACGUCGUGAGACAGUUCGGUCCCUAUCUGCCGUGCGCGUUGGAAAAUUGAGAAGAGUUGCUCCUAGUACGAGAGGACCGGAGUGAACGAACCCCUGGUGUUCGGGUUGUCAUGCCAAUGGCAUUGCCCGGUAGCUAUGUUCGGAAAGGAUAACCGCUGAAAGCAUAUAAGCGGGAAGCCUCCUUCAAGACUAGUUUUCCCUGAGCCUUCGGGCUCUAAAGAGCCGUUCAAGACUAGGACGUUGAUAGGCAGGAUGUGUAAGCAUUGUAAAGUGUUCAGCUAACCUGUACUAAUUGCUCGAUCGGCUUGAUCAU